GACAGAGGGUGCAAACGUUGUUCGGAAUUACUGGGCGUAGAGCGUGUGUAGGCGGCCGCGCAAGUCGGAUGUGGAAGCCCUGGGCUCAACCCAGGAAGUGCACCCGAUACUGCAUGGCUCGAGUACUGGAGAGGUUGGUGGAAUUCUCGGUGUAGAGGUGAAAUUCGUAGAUAUCGAGAGGAACACCGGUGGCGAAGGCGGCCAACUGGACAGAUACUGACGCUGAGACACGAAAGCGUGGGGAGCAAACAGG
rnacentral:rRNA from 1 species